GCGAGUAACGGCGACGCUCGAUUCCUUCGGCGAAAACAAACCGUUUUAUCAGCUCUGCCUUCCAAUAGUAUUGGGCCGUACCACUGUUUCUGACUGGGUGCACGGGAAACAGACCCACCAGCUUGAAGAUCGCAAACGGUCCAGUGCAGCAGUGUGGCUCAGGCCUGUAGGAGCGGUGUGACACCUGUCUACCGCAGAACGUGGACGUGACCAAAGUGAUGGCGAUGUGGCGAUGUUGACAACAAGCAGCAUAAGAGGUGGUGGCCGCCGGCGCGGUUCUCACUUCGAGACCGUAACGAUGCCCAACACCUGCAGUAAAGAUAAGUGCUCACCCAGCGUGAUGGAUCCGUGCUGUGAAGCAUGCUAAUCAGUGACAUCCUUACAAAGUCUAUCUGGGCGCUGUGAUUGCUUGCAGGCGUGUUGUGUCUUCCUCUGAAUACUCAUCCGCUUCUUGGCUUUCACAGCACAGACGUCUGAAAGUCUGUCUGCUUCUCCCAGCCCUGCACCAACACGGGCACUAUUUUUAUAAUGAAAUGCCACAGAAAGCAACCUCCUGACAAGACGGGAAGCAAACCACAAUGUCUGAUUUCCUGAGUGUACUCUUUAUUGAUUCAUGUACUCGUGUUACUAAUGCACAUGUUCAGCAAUUUACGAAUGUCAUGUAAUAUAUACAUUAAUUUACUGCUGAAUCACUUGCUUUUACAACUGUCUGCAUAUCCACCAUGGGGCACUAGGUGGCGGUAGAGCUCCAUGACUCACAAAGCAAAAUGAUCUAGAGAGGGGGAAAAUGAAAUAUUAAUAACGAAGACAAAUAAAUAAAAUCCAAACUAGAAAUACAACCAGGACUAAAAACUACCAUCAUACACAUAAAUAGGAAAGAUAGUCCAAUUAAAUGUAGCUUAAGUGUAGUCUGUACUGGAAACAUAAUGUCUUGUACUGCUUUAGUUCAAACUAAAAAACAUUGUAAUUAAUUUGGUAAAAGUAUGAAUGUAUAAAUAACAAACAGAACAAAUCAAUUAUCAAUGAUCCAAAUGAAUUUAUAUUUAUUAUAUGUCAGCGGACGAUUUAUGUAAUGGAACCGAACACAGGCUUAGGCAAGGACAGAAUUUAGCGUGUACUGUAUGUCAGCUCUUUAAAUGUACUAUAAUAAAAAACUAUUUGAUAUUUGGCAAAACCUGAAAAGCAAAUGUUAGAGAUGGCUAAGAGUGAGGAGGUCAGCAAGAAUACAGGGAGGAUGAAGAAGAAGAGCAGAGUAAUACAGCACUGAAGGACACUGCAGGGCUGUGGCGAGAACGAUGGUCGGCCUCUGUCAGGUUCUGGGGCAGUAGCAGCUGGGUUACAGGACUGUUAGCCUCAGCAACUGGGAGCUGGAGGAUGUGGUGUAGAAGCUGGGCCAGCAGCCGGACGUCAAGCUGAGCACGGAACACAGUCCAGAAUGAAGGAUGCAUUGUAAAAUAGUGUGCUACUGAUAAUAAUGAGGAGAGCUCCCUGAGUCUGAUUAGGUACAAGACCCUUUACUGAUAAAUAAAAGGCUUUGAGUGUUUAGCAUUUCAUUUGGCCAAUAUUCCAAAGUAGAAAGUCAAUCAAACAUGAAUUUGUGGCUUGUGAGACUUGCAAUAGAAGGAGGUCUACUUGAGGAAAUGAAUUUGUGUUAUUGAGCGGCUGUGAUGCUGAGACGUAUCAGUGUCCAUGUGUGGGGCGUCCGUAGCCACAGCUGAGUGGUCCUCAGUGAGGCCACCUAGGAAACACUGCGUCAAUACCAAGGAGGGCUGGUAACGUCAGCAACGCUGGAUUUGUGUUCCGAGUCAGACGUCUGUGACGUAUCUGAAGCAGCAAAGUUCGUAUGUGUGGAAGCAGAAACUUCCUGUGUCGCCUGUCUUUUUUCCUUCAGGUGAGCGUUUGUUUUGCAUCUGUCAGAAGCACCCUCGUAACCCCGUGCUCUAUCUGUUUGUACCAGCUGAUGUCAAAUUUGAGAUGCACAAAUACAACUUCAUCCAUUAUAUCAACCUUCAUGUAGCAGAAAUUUCCUUCAAGCUUCCUCUGAAUCAUAAGGACUUGUGAGGUGGUGUAGUGGUGUUUCUGUGUAGAGUUUACAUGUUCACUUUAAUUCUCAUAUCACGUAUCACGCAGCCAAAACAAAUGAGUCUCAUCUUUAAGAUCUACUAAAAUGACCAAACAGACCGUGAGCACUGGUAUGAAAAGUGUGAAUGUCUUGUAUCUAUAUUAAUAUCAAACCUAAAACUAGAACUCCUGUGAAAUGAACUUAAACUGAGUCCUGGCUUAGUCUUGGCAAUAAACUCACAAGACAUAAAGUCUUGGCAUUCAGGAUGUGGCAUCAGUAGCACGGCAGACAGUCCAGGAGGAGUCUGAGCUCAAAGAGAGGUAUUUAUAGACAGGUGGUGAUUGUUGAGUAAUGAGGCAGAGGAGGAACCACGACCUGUGUGUGUUUUGGACAUGUUACAGGAAGCGGGAGUUUUAUUACUACGGCAGAUGUUGAUUUCAGCUGAAUUGACCUACACCUUUUUGACUAAUUCUUACAACACAAGGAUUUGGUGUGAAUGGAUGUAAAAGAUUAUGAGACAUUUUGACACCACACGAAGAAUAUAGAUGGAAAGCGUUCACACCAGAGAGCCUAAGUAGAGAGUAAUGGCUUAUACUAGGAUUGUCUUUCAAAUGAGUGACUCCACAAACUUAUGUACAUACACACAAUGUUCUGCUUAAUGGUGACUGGCCCCAAAGAGUAAAGGCAGAACUUAUUUAUUGUUUUAGUUUAUAGGUGUAAGAAGUACUUAGUAAAUAGUAAAUAGUAAAAGUAGCAAAUCCACGAUGUAGAUUUACUGGUGGUAACAAAACCUAGAGGCUUAGUCGUUACACUACAAAGAUAUGAAAAAUGACUGAUUACACAGCAGGACAUGCAGCGCUAACACAGCUCUUAUCCUUUGAACAACAAAGGCUGCAGCAUGUAUCAGACGGCGGGUGGGAAGCAGACGGAAACGCGCCGCUCGCCUUUUCCUACUGUAGCCACCUCCCGAGUGAACGCUUCAGGUUGGACAGCUGUUCACAGAGUGGAGCAGAUCUCAGAGCCCUGGUGAACCACUCAGAGCCUCUCUGUGUAAUACGCAAUUAGACUCCCCAAAGACAGAGAGAGCUGGAGAAACGAAAGUUAUUAUUUACGAAUGAUGCAAAUUGUUCAAAUUGUUACACUGUAGCAUUUGAGGUAAUUUAAUUCACGUGUGCACGGGAUCAAAUGAGAGAGAAGUGAAGGAUUCUGUUUGAAGCUGUGACAGACACCCAAAGGUUAUAAAAAUAAAAGACUAGAUUAUAAUGUAUUCAGAUGCACAUGAAUAAAAUAUCACAUAUUUAUGUGACUUCUAUGCUCUAUGGCCUUUCAUCAUCAAAUAUGAUAUUGACCUUCGUGGUUUAUCGGGGGAAGAGAAUUUACUGGGCCAAUAAGCGAAGUGAAGGUUUGAGUGAGUGCGAGUGUCAGCAGGUUGUCAGACCCAUCGUUCUCCUGAACGCACCACGAUUGAUUUUAGUAUCUCAUCAAAGUGCUGUGAAUGUGUUGCUACUGGUGACGGGAGCAUCACAACAUUUUAAUUAUUAUUCACGCCUUCAUAUUGAUCUGAAUGUAAAAGCAAUAUGCUUUGCCUCUUCACUGUCUCUCUACACAAGUUCAAGUUCAAGGUCUUUACAUACGGCGUAAUUAGUAUAUUUAACGUCAGACAUUUAAAACAUAAGCCACUUCUACAAAAUCCUUUGAUCCUGCGUUUUUGCUUGGCUUCCACAUAACGUGUCACUACCUCGUUAAAGUAAAUGCGUCUCCCUGUCAACUCUCCAAACUGGUGGGUUGAGUGUUCACAGUGCCAGGAAUCUGAGUCGCUUUCUAGCUCGCUGUUCAAAGAUCAAGCACACAGCAGUGUAGGCGUUCGUUAUGAUAUCAGGUGAUAUCAUUACACCGUGCACCGGUCCAGUCGGUCUGGGGACAUGAAAAUAGAGGGACGACCAGAGAAAGGAGGUUAGAGACGAAUAACCCGUCUGCCCAUACAACAUGAAGCCUUUAUUUAUGAUUGACAGGUCAGAGGACGACUUACUGUUGUUGCACCAUGGGCACCGGGUUUCAGGAUGGUCACUGAUGUUCAAUUUCUACCUCACCUGUGUGUUAGGGACAGAACACCUCCGAAGGUUUGAUCCUCCAGUCGUCCCCACGUUUAACGUUUUAGAGCUUUGCACACACAUUAAGACUAAUAAAUAUAUUUAUUAAAUUACUGAUCAUUUUACAGCUGGGUCGUCCUCAUGAGAUAAAGACUGGCAGCUGCUGCUGCCUUGGGGACAACGACAGUAAUGAUGAUAGUCUGUCAUUGGGUUUGGUGGCAUUAAUAAUAAUAAUAAUUGAAGUUUAUUGAUCCCACAUUGGGGAAAUGAAUCUCUGCAUUUUCCCCCAUCCCCUGGGGGGAGUGCGACACCCCUGGAGCUGGUGUAUGGUGUCUUGCUCAAAGACACACCUUUAAUUAACAAAUUAAUUAUUAAUGUUGUUUUGUUGCUUGAGACACAUUAACACUGCGCAGUGCCACACAAGGUGGACAGUAAAACACCCAUAAUGCAUUGAGGCAUAACUGCAGAAACAGCUGAGUGAGUCCAUAUAUGGUAACAUUCUGUGACUUUGCUGCAGAAGCACAUGAACAAAGUCUUUUUCCGAGCAAACUGCUCUACAAACCCGCAUUCAAGCGUUUAUCUGCUGCGUCACAUAUUUGAAGCAGACUGCAUUGUUUCACUGCUUGCAUCGCUCACUCUAUUGAUCGUGUAUAUGUGCUGUAUUUAUGAUAUGAGUCUACGGGGAAAUUCACACGCAGUAUAACGAGGCUGUAAAUGUCUGACAGUGUGAACAAAUAAGCACAAAUACAGUAGACGUUUUCACUAUAUGUGGGUUUUACAGCACGUUUCUUUGAAUGCUGACGUGUAAAAUAAAGCAUUAACAAAGACCCUCAAAAAUAAAGGUCACGUGGAUGAAACAGAAGAUGAAGUCAGUUGUCCGCAGCAUCCAACCUUUCCCAACUGUCACUGUUGGAGGGUCCGGACAGCUGAGCUGAGGUUAAGCUGAGAGCAUCUCCAGGUCAUUUAGUUCUUAUCCUCUUUAAGGUGGAAAACUUUCUCUGCCUCAGAUAUGGGAUUUGUGGUGAGUGUCAGCAUAAGCCUGUCUUAGAGCUUCUUUUGGAUGGACGAUAACAUGAGAGCGGCUUCAAACCCAGAGGCUGAGGGAGUUGGGACAGACUGUCCCCCUUAGCCCUCCACUGCUUCUUGCGUCCCAAAAUAUUUGUUGACCGACAUCAAAGUGAAGCUCAGGGGAAAGAAUCAAGAGACGAUAAAUGAUGUGUCAGCUGGUUUAGUGUUUCAGACCUGUUCCAUCUGUGAGAAUAUGGCGCCACGUCGCUCCUUCGUUACGGGAGCUGUGACUGACAGGUGUUCAGUCUAGUUGAAUGGAUCAGUGCUCAAGCAGCUUUUACACCUUUAUCUAAAGCUACGCUUUAGAAUAAUGUGUAACACAGGGCAGGUCGUCAUUUGUUACAAGAUGAAUUUCAGUUUUGUCCAACAACAUACUCUCAGCCCCAAAUCUCAUUUUGUACAAAGCCAGAGGAACCAAGUGUGUUCCAGUUGCGAAUGAAUUCAUAGUCAGGCAUAAUUUAAAAUCGAAUCAGACUAUUUACAGCUUUGCAAAUUGACUGUAAUGAACAAAUGUGGCAUGCUGCCAUUUGGAAAUGAUGGUAGAUGUUACUUCACACUACAGGCUGCAUAUUAACUGAGUCCAUCAAGGACAAAUAAAAAUGUCAUCGAGCGAUUUUCUGCCCGUUGUUCAGAUAAAACGUGUCCCAUUUUUUAUAAUUCUAACCUUCUGCACUGGUUGUUUUGAUUUCUGGCUGCUUCAUUUUUCUCUCCAUUCCACAUUUUAUUUUCUCUCCAUCUGGUUUGUGACUCUGAUUGCAAAUUCUUUUUUAUUGUUUGUGCACUACAUGUAAUUUGGCACAAGCCACAGUUAUGCAAUUACAUUAGUCAGUGGUGUUGGCAGAUUGGUGACUUUUUCUUCUUCUCAGUGGAACGAAUUAAGAAUUUAGUGAAAGAUACUAAAUAAAUACUUGGAAGGUUUGCUGUAUAAACUGUAUCUACGCCAUUUGCUGUAACAUUGAUCUUUAUUAUUGCUACUGCUUCAUUGGUAAUAAAAACCAACACAAAGUGGCUGGAACCUCAUGAGCUCCCAGACACAAGCAGUCUCACGCACAUAAUAUCAUCCCUGGUGCCGUGUUUUGACGACGGUGGUGGAUCGCAUUGCCGUGACUCGUGAUCGAUCCCUUUCUCAGGCAUAACUAGAAGAUCUUUGCACCGAAGGGCUCACGCUUUCAGGCCUGUAUGCGUCCCAUGAAUGUAUCACUUACUAUCCACCCACAUUUCUGAUACCGAUGUGUACUCUGUGCACCAUUUAUGCAACACAACAAUAACUAGAAUCUCUUCCACUGUUUAUUCCCACGUCACAGUAAGACACAAGAAUCUUGCUCAUCUGAUUUACACAAUGAUUUGUAAUGAUGUGAAUGCAGAUGUCACUGUAGUCACUGUUCCUACUGAACCGGCAGACAGUUCAUCAGUCCGUGUGACUGAAGCUCCUGCCACCUGUGCCCCAGCAGUGAACCCUCCUUCGCAGUCGGAUCUAAAUCUCAUGUCUUUCUAAUCCAAAUAAGAAUCAGUGGAGCCUGUUCAGUAUUUCAUACACACCACAGAGCGCGACCGGCUGCUAACUGCUCAGCGAUGCCAGUGCCCUCGUGUGGAAACAUUAGCAUCAAGUCAGUCUUGAAGUAAAGCCAGUAUAAUUGGCAAUAUUUCCUUUUUAAAAUUUGUACUUUCUGUCAUCAUCUAUAGAAAAUUCUUUAAAUAAGAGUGUUAAACUCAACAGUCUGCUAAUUUUAUUUGUUUACUGUAAAGGUCAUUCACGUUAAAUUUCAUGUGACAUUUAUGUUUUUCUACUAGUUUUGAUGUAGCUACUCUCCUCCUCCCAGGACAACUCCAGACAGACUCAUUUAUUUUUCUUGGAGCAAAAAUCAAAUAAAAUACCUUUUAUGAAGACUCUCUGGCUGCAUUAGAGUUUUAAAUCAAUCUUUGUGAAAACUCACAGGAAGCAGUGAUUCAGAGGAGCCAUCGCUCAUCCUGCUGUGUGAGUGGGAGACAACGACCAAUACACUGAGGCUUACUGGUGUCACCACACACAUGCAUGCACGCAUGUACGAAUGCACGCACACAUUAAUGCGAUUGAGAGGAAUUAAAGGCUUUGAUUGGUUGCUUUAUGACUGUCUGUAAAACAGUUGUAGUGUGUGUCUUCACUGCAUUGUGUGUGUGUGUGUGUGUGUGUGUGUGUGUGUGUGUGUGUGUGUGUGUGUGUGUGUGUGUGUGUGUGUGUGUGUGUGUGUGUGUGUGAAUGUGCAGGUGUCACUUGCGAGGCUCUAAAACACAUAACAUAAAGCCCAGAUAUUUAUGGUACAGACAGAGAUGACAAUUUCAUGUGUGUGAUUGAUAUAUGAAGAUGAGGAGCAGAUAAAGGAGGAAGAACAAUGUGAAGAGAAGAACAGAAGGAUGACAGCACAGCAUGAAAAAUAUGUAACUUCAAGAGGUGAAGGAAGAGUAAAAAGUAAAAAGAGAAAGAAAGAAAGAAAGAAAGAAAGAAAGAAAGAAACAAAGAAACAAAGAAACAAAGAAACAAAGAAACAAAGAUACACCUUAGGUAAACACAUUCAUAACUAAAUAACUGCUGUGCUGUUAACUGUUAAAUUAAUAUUAAUACCUAUAAUAAUGUUAAGGUGUGUUCAUACAAUCAUACAUAAAUCGACUCAUAUACAUACACUCAUGCAUAUAUAUUAUUUAGGGCUGGGCCUGUUAUAAUAUAUAAUAUUAUAUAUAUAGUAUAUAAUAUUGCGCGUGUUUUACGUGGACACAGUGUUGCCAGACAUUUUUUUUAAACUAUUAUUUAUACAAUAGUUUUGACACAAGCAGCUUUAAUGGCUUGUCUGUGAGUUUGACGCUACGUUUCAGGGAUGGAUUCAACCUGUUCCAAAAAUGAAUAAAGGAAUUGUUUAAUUGAAAAAAUUAAGAUCCUGCAUUAUUUCUUUAGGUUAUCUGCACAUAGAAUAAGGGUGUUUUUAAAUGUGCUGUGAUUUUUAAAGUUGUUUUUACCUCAUACGAUAGUUUGGGUCAAAAUAUGCUAAUUUUAAAGCAACAAUACCAUAUUUCUUCAUUUCCCAUCUGGCAACAGUGUGUCAAAGUGGAGUUCGUGGAAACAAGUCAUUCAUGGCAAAGCUGAAUCUGAAUCAGCUGAAUCACUGUAGUACUUUGAGUCUGAAGUAUCACUUAAAUGCAAUACACACGGUUGAUGCCAGCAAAUCACCCACCUAAAUAAACAAUGGAAGGAGACUUCGGCAAACUAUAUUGUAUGUAGCGUGUGGGAGAAGUAUAAAUAAAAGCAAGGCAAGCUAACAAAUGCCAUAGCUAAGUGGUUACCUACAAACUGCAAGUCAAUUAGUGUUGGAAGAUGUUUAAUAAAAGGUCUAAUAGAAUUACAGUACAACAAUACAACUUACAACCAAGUGUAUGAACACGUCCAUUUCCACAGCAAAAUACAAACUACUGAUGUCAGUGUGAAUCAAGGCUUCAUUGAUUGUCAUUGGAGCCUUUUGCUAUUUGUUGUCUUUGUAGUUUAUGUAAAAUUUACCUUUUAUGCAAAUAAUUGGAUUCAGAUGAAGAAAUGCUUUGAUUUACUGAAUCCAUGACAUUCAGUUUUCCAACUAUGUCAGAAAACUGAAAUGUUGUAAAUAUUACAGAAAAUACAUAAAAACUAAAAUACAGUCAAAUCUAUUCUCUAUCUAUUUCUCUUUGGUCACAAAAGCUAAAACAGUGGAGUUUAGACUGUUUGAAUGACGUCAGUGUUAACUGUUUUGCAAAAGGGAAGAGAAAAUGUGUCAAUCCAAUGAGAACGGGUUUACACAUUUGCUACAUGUGUCUGAUGCACUGCUGGAAUAUUGAUGAUGAAAAUAAGUGGAACCUAGUUAUGCAAAACAGACUAAUAAAAACUGUAAUAGAAUGGUGAACGAAUGAAAUAACGAAGGGCAGCACGUGUGAACCUCCUUCAAGACGCACCAUAUGGGGUUUAUUUUAUUUAUUAGUGCAUUUUCAUGUAUUCAUUGAUGUAUCAUUGUUUUGCAUUAGAGAAGAGAGAGAGGCUUGCUUAUGUAUUAGAGAAGGCAGGAUGUGUGUGUGUGUCUUAUGAAAAGUCAUUUAAGUGACAUAGUCUGUGAAGCACAAUGGAACAUUGAGAGGCCAUUGUCCUGUAAGAGGAAUCAUAUGUUAAGUGACCAGUUUUAGUGCAUGUUAGAAAUCAUAUGUUGUGUGUCCUGAGUUUCAAUAUAUAUUCAGAGUCAUAUAGUCAGAAGGCAUAAGCAGAGUAUAUAAUCCUGUGUGUGUAGAGUUGGUCAGUCUCUGACUUGCUAAGGAGCGAGAGAAGUCAUAGCUGCAGAUAUCUGCAACGGGCACAAACGUCCGGUAAAAGAUGGAAAAAGGUAAAGAGAAUAAAAUACAAGGUGUGUGGUUAGAGUUCCGAUAAAAAGGGUUGAAGUCCCGUCAAACGUUCUAGGUGUGACAACCGCAGGUCCGAUGGGAUUCUGUAAAAGCUAGAUAAGGGUCUCUGGGGAAAUUGAGGACCCCCUGAGAUAUCUGACUAGUAUUUAAAAUUGUUGAUGGGUUAGAGAUAAAAUAAACUGUUGAUGGGUUAAAGCAGCGGUCCCCAACCUUUUUGCACCACAGAAAAAUAUAAAUAAAAAGGGCAAUAACAUAAAUCCCGCCAAUCCCAUCUGUUCUACUGAGGGUUAUCAACCUUUUCGGCUGAGAGCCCCUCAAGAGGACUCAGAGAAGGAUUCUGGCAAGGAAGAGAAGUAGAUCGUCAUGGAACAGAGGAACACAAUGUUUCCUUUCCUAUCUAACAACAGAGCAAGUUGACACAAAGACUGAAGGUUUUAAGAUCUUAGAAUAAACGUUAUCCUAGUACAAAGUAAAACUUGACUGUCCAAAUAUGGUGUUGUGGGGUAUUUGUAGAGUGAUUUUUUCUUUUAGCUAAUAUAUUUAUAGUCAUAGUAGGGGGAAUUUUAAUGUGAAAAUGCAUGGUCCAAGGCUUCACAUACAGCUCAUCCAGAACAUGAAAUAAGGGAGCUAUAAGCUCAGAUCACUGAAUCAAAACCUACCAGUUGAACUACAGUGGGAGUCAUCCACUUCAUUCCAACGUAACGUUGGAAUGAAGUGACAUUGACAUAUGUAGUGUGAUCAAUUGUCAUGGAAGCCCCGCUGGCUGGAGAGGGUGUGAUGUAUAUUUGUGUAACUCCCAUUUGCUUAACACAUGGUGCAAUGUCUGGAGUAUUGAUUAAGAAAGUAUACGGGGGGCGAUUGAACUCUGCAGAUGACUACAACAAUGAUCAGUGGUGGAGAAUAUAAGUUUUGUUAGAGAAGUUUAGAGAAGUGCAGUGGGUAGAACUAGCACCUCGACAAGGGCUUGGGUGUGAUUCCCAGGGCGGACCGGGUGCCUUACUGUGUGGAGUUUGUAUGUUCGCGUGGGUUCUUCCUCCUAUGCUCCAAAAACGUUAGAUUAAUUGGUCACUCUAAAUUGUGUGUGAAUGGUUGUCUGUCUGUGUGUUGCCCUGUAAGUGUGUGUGUCCAGGGUGUACCCCGCCUCUCGCCUGUAGACAGCUGGAAUAGGCUCCAGCAACUUCCACAGGAAACAAGCGGUAGAAGAUGGAUGGAUGUAAGUUUGUGCGACAGAGCAUCCACUAGUUCUAACCAUCUAGCAGAACUGAGAAAAUCCACAUUAGCCUAGCGAGGAUUUGAUCUUUAUGAUUCUGGGAGUAAAUGUCACUCGAACAAAUCUCAUGACUGUAAUCCAAAUUAAUCUCAUAGAUCCACCAAAACCAACUAACAUGUUUAUCAAUCUCACAGGGGCAGAAUAGCACUAGACAAUUUGGACAGUAUUGAUUACACCCAAGUUAGAGCCAAAGAUAUAGGUUGCAAGGCAGCAACAUAUGUGGACUCUAAUUUGUAGUUAGAUUGACUAAUACUGCUAAAGAACAGGGCAUGGGGACGGUUUAGCAUGCGCCUCAGCCCAUCCUAAUUGAUCACUGAACCAGCUUCCUUAUAUUCUGAUGACACGUGCAUGCUGGGACUCACCCACCAAGCAACACCUUGUACAAGUUAAUUGUACAACUUCAGCUUCAAUAUUCCAAUAUCACCAAUAUCUAAAAAACAAAACUAUAGUAGGACCUUUUACACCCUUUAAAAGACAUGGCAAUUAUACUCGUAUAGGAACAUCACUUAUUAUACAAUUAGGAUCAGUUGACUUGGGUUAGCCAGAGUGUGAUUGUACUGGUAUUGUGGGGAACAUCGACUUGUACUAUGUUAAGAUAUGUGUGUUUAGGAGCCCCAUUGGCCCUAAUUGGCCCAGAAGGUAGGGCAGUCCCAGUAGGAAUUUAUUCUUCCCCCUUAGCAGCCCUCACCCAAAGAAGGUGCAGGUAUGUGUUGUGCAGAGUGAGUCGAGAAUUCUCAUUUGAUUUAUCUGCAGUAAGUGCCACCUAUAUUGAUGUCAUUGGGGUGCCCAGAGGGGUGCCUGAUAAGUUCAGACAUGUUAUUCGCGGAAAAGGGGGGAGUGUGUGCAAUGUUUGGAUACGUGCUGUACUUUCAUUCCUAAUACCACAGAAUGGUCAGAACGGACCACUGUUGGGUCAAUGUUGUCCACCCCAGGAGAACCAGAGGCAAACAUUCCCCCCAGUGGGAGGGUCAUCCCAAGAGAAUGGAGCCCGAGGACCCACGGUCUUUACGGAGUCCACCAGGAGAAGCCCCCGUGCCAAGAGAGGGACUCACCCCUACAAGAGUCGUCAGAAGAAGAAAUCACCCAGGCAGCGGAUCCACGGAGAACAGACACCCCCACCACAACCAUACCACAUACAACACAUAGACACACACCUACAUUAACGGAGACAUCCAGGAGCAGAACCGCUGGCCUCACCUCUAGGCCCCAGUGAAAGACCCUACCCUGCCCUAAAUGUAUAUGUAUGUGCUUAGGUAUGAGGAACCCAGGAAGACUGCCAGUUCACCAAAGGGUCCAGCAGACAGAGCCAUCUAAGCAAAGGCCCUAACCACUGGUCCCCCAGGGAGGCAGCCUCCAGAGUCUUGGAUGAGUGUAUAUGACUAAUGCAAUUAAAACUUCCCAGUAGUCCCUCCAGCAGUAGGACUCCCCUUACAGACCUAAGUGGAUGGGUGUUGGAUAUUGUAGUUGGGAAGCAAGGCACCAGGGUCUGCAAAGCCAGGUUCUCCCUCGCCCUGCUACCUAUCCCACUAUCACCCACCACCCCACAACAACAAAAAGGCAAGUCAGACCUAGGGACCAUGGUACUACUAUCUAGGGCAUCACAAACAGUGCAGCCAGAACCACCCUCCCUCCUCUGUCACACUUGAACAUUUUCUCAUUCAAGCAUGCUCAUGCUGACCUGUGUGAACCACCUGUUUUAUAACCAUAACCAUAUCCCUAUCAAUUAUUGUCUGUUUCAGCACCAUGAUACAUCUAACCCUUAUCAUGACGAUACCCGACUGGAGGAGUCCUAGUCAUUUAGGAGGCCAUCGUUCCUCCAAGAUCCCAUACAUCACUUUGCUGUAUGACACUUUAAAAUCGAGGUCCAGGCCUUUAGGGAGGGACCAAACUUCCUAGGCUCUGUACCAGUCCAUAAGCAGGCGCUGCUGGGUUUCAUCCUUAUCACAAUGAGUCACAGGGCACUGCUUAGUUGAAACGUGACAGCUCCAUGAGACCACAGCUCUGAUUGUGAGUCUUCCCACGCUCCUUAACCAAUGGGUGUCUCUGAUCAUUCAACAUUUUUGUGGGUAUGUGCUUGUACACAAUAUUUUCACUGUAGUUAUAUUUUACUACUGUGUUGUAAAUGUCUUUGUUGGUGAUUCAAGUCCAAGUAAAAUGCCUGUGUUUGGCAAUAUAGUCUCAAUAGAGCAGUUUGUAGUAGGAAUUUUAUGACACUUGGAUAAGUCUCAGACCCAGGAGGAGUUAUUAGAAUUGGCAGUGGAUACAAUUUUUAACAAAAGUUAUGAAUAAGUUUGCUGCUAAGUCUAUGGCGCUCCUCCAUAUUUGGUUCUUUUAAACAACAGCUCUCUUUUAUCAAUGUGUCAGGCCAUGUCGCAUCGUGUGUUCACCCUGCUGAACUGUCUGCUACUCCAACUCCAGGUACUCAUUGCUUUUUGAAUCUGCUCUGCAUAGUUCUGAUUUUUUAGUUUUUUUUCUAGCUCUGUAAGCCGUAAUUUCCUUGUGGUUUCCUGGUAGCCAUUCUCACCAUUCUCAAGCAGAUAAUUGCAUCUGUGUACAGUAUUUUGCAUUUGUUUGCGUUUUUGAAUAAGCUUUUUUUUUUUUUCGUUGGGGAGAGUU